AUGGCUCAGAUUGAACGCUGGCGGAAUGCUUUACACACGCAAGUCGAACGGCAGCACGGACUUCGGUCUGGUGGCGAGUGGCGAACGGGUGAGUAAUAUAUCGGAACGUGCCCAGUCGUGGGGGAUAACGUAGUGAAAAUUACGCUAAUACCGCAUACGAUCUAAGGAUGAAAGCGGGGGAUCGCAAGACCUCGCGCGAUUGGAGCGGCCGAUAUCAGAUUAGGUAGUUGGUGAGGUAAAGGCUCACCAAGCCAACGAUCUGUAGCUGGUCUGAGAGGACGACCAGCCACACUGGAACUGAGACACGGUCCAGAUCCUACGGGAGGCAGCAGUGGGGAAUUUUGGACGAUGGACGCAAGUCUGAUCCAGCCAUUCCGCGUGCAGGACGAAGGCCUUCGGGUUGUAAACUGCUUUUGUACAGAACGAAAAGGUCUCUAUUAAUACUAGGGGCUCAUGACGGUACUGUAAGAAUAAGCACCGGCUAACUACGUG
rnacentral:rRNA from 1 species